rnacentral:rRNA from 1 species
AACGAACGCUGGCGGCAGGCUUAACACAUGCAAGUCGAGCGCCCCGCAAGGGGAGCGGCAGACGGGUGAGUAACGCGUGGGAAUCUACCGUACCCUACGGAAUAGCUCCGGGAAACUGGAAUUAAUACCGUAUACGCCCUUCGGGGGAAAGAUUUAUCGGGGUAUGAUGAGCCCGCGUUGGAUUAGCUAGUUGGUGGGGU